rnacentral:rRNA from 1 species
UAAGGGAGCUAUGCUGGGAGUGCUCCACCCGAUCCCAUUCCGAACUCGGAAGUGAAAUCUCCUAAGGCCGAUGAUAGUCCUUUGGGCGAAAGUAGGUAGCUCUCUUAC